CCUACGGGGGGCAGCAGUGGGGAAUAUUGCACAAUGGGCGCAAGCCUGAUGCAGCCAUGCCGCGUGUGUGAAGAAGGCCUUCGGGUUGUAAAGCACUUUCAGCGGGGAGGAAGGCGUUAAGGUUAAUAACCUUGUCGAUUGACGUUACCCGCAGAAGAAGCACCGGCUAACUCCGUGCCAGCAGCCGCGGUAAUACGGAGGGUGCAAGCGUUAAUCGGAAUUACUGGGUGUAAAGCGCACGCAGGCGGUCUGUCAAGUCGGAUGUGAAAUCCCCGGGCUCAACCUGGGAACUGCAUUCGAAACUGGCAGGCUAGAGUCUUGUAGAGGGGGGUAGAAUUCCAGGUGUAGCGGUGAAAUGCGUAGAGAUCUGGAGGAAUACCGGUGGCGAAGGCGGCCCCCUGGACAAAGACUGACGCGCAGGUGCGAAAGCGUGGGGAGCAAACAGGAUUAGAUACCUUGUAGUC
rnacentral:rRNA from 1 species